GACGUAGGGCGCGAGCGUUGUCCGGAUUUAUUGGGCGUAAAGAGCUCGUAGGCGGCUUGUUGCGUCGACCGUGAAAACUUGGGGCUUAACCUUAAGCUUGCGGUUGAUACGGGCAGGCUAGAGUUCGGUAGGGGAGACUGGAAUUCCUGGUGUAGCGGUGAAGUGCGCAGAUAUCAGGAGGAACACCGGUGGCGAAGGCGGGUCUCUGGGCCGAUACUGACGCUGAGGAGCGAAAGCGUGGGGAGCGAACAGG
rnacentral:rRNA from 1 species